GACGAACGCUGGCGGCGUGCUUAACACAUGCAAGUCGAACGGUGAAGGGGUCUGCUUUUGUGGGCCCUGGAUGAGUGGCGAACGGGUGGGUAACACGUGAGUAACCUGCCCCCUUCUUCUGGAUAACCGCAUGAAAGUGUGGCUAAUACGGGAUAUUCUGGGUCUGUCGCAUGAUGGGUCUGGGAAAGAUUGCGCCUUUGGGUGUUUUUGGUGGGGGAUGGGCUCGCGGCCUAUCAGCUUGUUGGUGGGGUGAUGGCCUACCAAGGCGGUGACGGGUAGCCGGCCUGAGAGGGUGGACGGUCACACUGGGACUGAGACACGGCCCAGACUCCUACGGGAGGCAGCAGUGGGGAAUAUUGCACAAUGGGCGCAAGCCUGAUGCAGCGACGCCGCGUGAGGGAUGGAGGCCUUCGGGUUGUAAACCUCUUUCGCCAGUGAAGCAGGCCUGCUCCUUGUGGGUGGGUUGACGGUAGCUGGAUAAGAAGCGCCGGCUAACUACGUG
rnacentral:rRNA from 1 species